rnacentral:rRNA from 1 species
UACGUAGGGGGCAAGCGUUAUCCGGAUUUACUGGGUGUAAAGGGAGCGCAGACGGCAGUGCAAGUCUGGAGUGAAAGCCCGGGGCCCAACCCCGGGACUGCUCUGGAAACUGUACGGCUAGAGUACGGGAGGGGCAGGCGGAAUUCCUAGUGUAGCGGUGAAAUGCGUAGAUAUAUGGAAGAACACCAGUGGCGAAAGCGGCUCUCUGGUCUGUAACUGACGCUGAGGUUCGAAAGCGUGGGUAGCAAACAGG